ensembl:lncRNA
CCUGAAUUACACAGCCGCUCAGCCAAGGAGCUGAGUCAGAUUACCGCAGUCUGUUUAAUAUACAACAUCUAAAGGCUAAAGGAGCUAGAGCCUCAUGCAGGCCGUUCAAAUGACAGACGCACUGAGUCAGCAUACGUCGUCUCUUGUGGUCAUCAGGACGACGGCAGCAGCUUGAGACAGAUACAGAACACUCGACUGUCUGCAGGUUUGCCUUCUUGUGGGUCCCAAUUCCCAGGAGAAGAGAGGGAGUUUGGUGUUAUGUGGAUUGAGUGAUGGUCAGCCUAACGGUGCAAUCUUCAGCUCUCCAUCCCCUGUGUCAUCCCCUGUGUCAUCUCCACAUGUUUCCCUGUGUGUUAUUCCAUGAGUUAUGGUUUUGGGUUUGGUUUGUUAUUAGUUUCCCCAGUUUAGGUUUAUGUUUAGUUCUGUCCUCGCUUUUGUUAUUUUCACCGUCCACAAUAAAGCUCCCGUGCAUCACAGCAAGUGCCUGCACUUUGGGUUCUUCUUCACAACACCACACGACUGCUGCCCCAGCCGUGAC